AGCGAACGCUGGCGGCAUGCUUAACACAUGCAAGUCGCAGGAACCUUUCGGGGUUAGUGGCGGACGGGUGAGUAACGCGUGGGAAUCUGUCCACGGGUGGGGGAUAACUCUGGGAAAUUGGAGCUAAUACCGCAUGAUAACUGAGGGUCAAAGGCGCAAGCCGCCCGUGGAGGAGCCUGCGUUCGAUUAGCUAGUUGGUGGGGUAAAGGCCUACCAAGGCGAUGAUCGAUAGCUGGUUUGAGAGGAUGAUCAGCCACACUGGGAUUGAGACACGGCCCAGACUCCUACGGGAGGCAGCAGUGGGGAAUAUUGGACAAUGGGGGCAACCCUGAUCCAGCAAUGCCGCGUGUGUGAAGAAGGUCCUCGGAUUGUAAAGCACUUUCGACGGGGACGAUGAUGACGGUACCCGUAGAAGAAGCCCCGGCUAACUUCGUGCCAGCAGCCCGCCGUAA
rnacentral:rRNA from 1 species